rnacentral:lncRNA from 1 species
GACACGGUCCCACCGGAGCCGCCCGCCCUGUUUACAAGCUUCUGCUGUGCCCUUGGUGACAGUUACGAACUCUUGGACAGAGGAUUUUCGGAAAGGGAGGACGAGCUUAGGAUAAGAAUCACACAUCCCAAAGGUUCCGUAGAUCCUGCACAGUGACGGAACGGCGGAGCCCAAAUGACAGAGCUCCUGUCCCUGGAGUCUGGGCUGGUGGAGAGGGCGUGCAGCGCAAAUAAGGGACUGGCCUGUCUCCAAGGCCCUUCAGCCAUCAGGAGACGCCAGGACCCUGAGAUCUGACUGUCCCUCUCUGUUAAGGCAAGUCCAGAAACUCCUCCUGUGGGGCAGUGCGGUCAGCAGAGUGAGGAGUGUCCUGCGGGUGACACAGCCCCAGGACGCAUGCACUUCUGUUAGUCGGUGCUUGUCCUUCCACAGGAAGCACCCACACAGCUCAGCCCGCUGCCUGGUCCCGGGACGGAUGUCAGCAGAGUUCAGCAGAGAGCCGCUUGCUCAGGGCUUGGUGUGUGCGAGGCUCCUGGAGGGGACAAAGCGGGGGUCAAGAGACCCAGGCCGCAGCGUCAGGGAGGCAACCGGAGAGGCUCCUGGGAGGAGGCCUGAGGGCAACAACUGCCUGGAUGACAGCACAAAACGUGUCUCCCCUCCUCCAGAACCUGGGGUGGGCUAGGCAGGCCCCACCCACACGACUGCAGGCACGGAGAAGUGCCGCUGUGUGCAGGACACAGCGUAUAGAAGCCGGGACGAGGGACGGGACACAUGCUUCCUGUCCAAAUGACAUUUUGGAGGGAAAUGUUUGACACUUUCUUCUUCCCUCCUUCCCAGCUGAGCCUCAGAGGCCAGCAGCGCCUCAGCCUCCAGGCUGAAGUUCACCGGGGAGGGUGGGGCCUGGGGAGCAGCUGCGGCCACGGCCAGGAGGUGCUGCAGCAGGGCCAGCACACAGUGGGUCUGUUUCCAUAGAGGGCUGUGGAGUGAGGACAGAGGGGAGAACGUGAUGUCGUGUGUGGGACUUCAACAGAGAGCACUGACAAAGAACGUCCAGGCCACAGGGAGCCACUGUGGGAGCCGGAGCAGGGGAGCGACAGGAAUGGACACGGGGCUCCCCCGCAGUGACCCAGCCCUCUAGCCAGGUGUGCACAGCAGAGCAGGAUGACAAGAACAGACAUGCUACUGAUGAGCACUCACUGAGAGCGGGUGAGGGGCCAGGCCCGUUCUGAGCCCUUCGGGUCGAUGACUUCAUUCUGUCCUGGCGCGAUAAGUCUGCGUGGUGGGGACCACCACUGUCCUGUUUGUGCAGACAGGCAAAGCGACCCCCCGAGGUCACCCUGCUGGUCGCAGUGUCCCCGGGUCCCUGUGUAGCAGCUCUGGGCCGUCGUGUCCAGCGGGCCGGUGUGCUCGCUGCCUCCUGGCGUGUGUCUGGGAAGAUCGUCAGCAUCCCGGGCUCACUGUCCCCAUUUGUGCCCCGGGAGUGACUCCUGCCCGGCUCUCAGGGCAGCUCUCUCUGACCCCAAGACCAUGUAGCACCGUCCCAGCACUGCAGGCCAAGGCCGCCCGGGGACCCUCACAGUCUCAUCAUCUUCAGGAGGCAGGAAAAACCUCAAAGGGUUUCCUUGAAAGGCCCCUUUAAGCCAACUUGCUGUCAUUUUGAGAUUUUUCCUCCGGAGAUGAACAUGGAAGGAACUGCCUAGUGCUGACAAACUUUGGGAAACUUCCAAGCACUUUGGGAUUCCCUUUCCCUCUCGGUCCUGCAUCAGCCUGUCACCUUGAAAGGACAUGCGACACUCCCUUCGGCCAGGCAACCAGCUGGGGACCUUUAAUAUCCCUUGGCCAAGAGCUGCAGGUCAGGAAGAGGGCAGAGCCCCUGGCUCUGUGUCCCAUGUCCCUCUCAAGACCUGGCUGAGCCGCUGGUCCUCCCGGCCCACAGGGUCCCCACCCUGGACAGAGGCCAGCCUCGGGGCUCCCAGGGCCCUCCAGCCUCUGGUGCCGGUAGCCCUUCCUCCCUUGGGCCAGCACCGCAUGAGGCAGGGGCUGCUCCACUCCCAGGUCACUCCUGGGGACCAGCCCCCAGCAGCCUCUGCAGCGGGAUGCCAGGGCCCUCCUGCCCCCAGAGGAAGGCAAACUCCAGGAAGGGUGGUGCUCAGGCCCUCCUCUGGGCUCAGCACGGCCCUCGGAGCAUCCCUGAGGGCUCUGAGGACAAUCUCAGAGGCCUGGACAGGCAGGGCUCACCAGCGGCCACCUCGCCUCAGCCCAACUCCAGAAGGUUCUGCUCCUGUUUCAAAAGAAGGGUUUCCACCUCCAACAAGAAUCAACAGGGGCUGGAAACCAAGCGCACGUAAUCAGACCAGCUCCCUCCCAGACCCGAGCCUGGCAGGUCCACCUGCCUUCUGGCUCAUCUGCCCAGCUGCCUGUAGAUGUCACAAACUCGCCUGGCCCAAGGUGUCUAGGUGCCUGUCCCCCCGUCUCUCCACCCACAUCUCAUCCCUCAGCCCAUCCUGGUGGCUCCACCUGCAGAACCGCCCAGAAUCUGCUCCUUCCGCAUGCCCCCCGCCCCAACCUGGGCCAAACCACACCAGCCCUCCCUCUAAUGCCUGUGGUCCCUUGCUGCGCCCGCACCUCCAGUCUGCUCUCCACACACCACAGCCUGACCACGUCAGCUCACAUCCUCCUCUGCUCCACACCCUCCGUGGCCACCCUCCAGGCAAAGCCCGGCCCUGCCAGGCCCUGAUGACGAGCUGACCUCAUUUCCUGCCACCCCGCUCCCUCCUGCCCAUCCCACUCCAGCCGACCGGCCUCCCCAUCUUCUCUCACACACCAAGACCAUUCCUGCCCUUGCUCUUGCUGGUCCUUCCUCUUAGAACACUCUUGAUGUCCACACGGCUCCCUCGCCUCCUCCAGAUCUUUGAUCAAACGUCAUCUCCUCAGUGAGGCUUUCCCUGACCUCCCCUUCUCACCACCUGAGCCCUGGGCAGGCUCAGUCUGUCUGCAUGUGACACGUUCCCCCCACCACCUGUGAGCCCCCAGGAGCAGGCCAGAAUGCCAGGGUUUGAAUCCUAGCUCUGCCACUUACCAGCUGUGUGACUUGGGACAAGGUGCUUAACCUCUCUGUGCCUCCAUUUCCUCCUAUGUAAAAUGUACCUUCACUCUAGGUCGUUGUGGAAGCUAAUGAGUUAAUACGUACAAACUGUCUGGAAUGCAGAGACGUCCGUUAGCCAUUACUCGAAUCGUUAUGAUGUGCUGUGGACCAAGGCUUCCUGGCCAGUGGUCCGAAGACCUGGGCUGUGAUCCACCUCUGCCGCUACUCUCCACGUGGCCUUGGCAAGUCACGCUGGCCACAGCGAGGAGGACAACAGACUGGAAACGGGCAAGAGUGAUAAUAAAUUGGGAGAAAAAUUGGGAGGGCGUUUCAAUUUUCCAAGCGCAAAACAGGACAGUCCUUUAGACGAGGGUGAUGGCAGUGGAAGUGGGGAGACACCAACAGGUUUAAAAGAUGGGAGGAUUGACUGAGGGGCCUGGGUGGCUAUGUGGCCCCAGGGUGGGGAAGGAAGGGAGCAGGCUUGGCUUCUCCUGUCUCACCAGCCGCGGGCUCUGGUCUUUGGGGAAGGCCGGUGAGCCUAUUCUCUGUUUGUUCUGGGGCUCCCUGUGUUCUCCCAAUAAAUCUCCCAUCUUGUUCAAAAGAAGAGCAUGAGCUGAAUAAAGGAGGGAACCCACGGCUUAAUAAGGCGAGGAGUGCUGAGUGAACUGAAGAAUGAGUGAUAGAGCCACCAGGGGGAUUCACUCAUGUCCCCAGCUGUUCAAAGAAUGAAGAGAAGGUAGGCUCAACCAGAAGAAAAAGGAAGUGGUCCCCACUGGGCAUACUCCGAGGGACCCCUCCUCCCCCACCAACGCCUCAGGGUCUCCACUCCUCCAGGGUGCGGACCAAUUUCAGCUGAGACAGAGAAGGGAGGGGUGGGCGGGAAGGAGGAGGGAAGGAGAGGCAGGCGACAUGGACGGUUCCGAGGGACCUCUGCCUCAUCCUCUCCUCCCGCCGUGUGGCCUCUCUGUGCUUCCCUUUCGGAGUCCACAAUUUCACCAUCCGUGGUGGGCGGGUUUGGGAGUCACCAACACGCCAGGAGAGAUUUUCUGUCGCAGCAGCAGCAUUGGGCAGCUCACAGGAGCUCAGAGCCCAGGGUCCUCCUCUGCCCUGGGUGCCCUUAACGGCCCGAAGGGGAAGGACUCAAAUGUGCAACUGUGUGACUGUGGCCUCCGCUCAGCCCAGCCCGCCUCUGGAGCAUCAUGGUCACUGUCCGAGAUGCUCACGGGCUGACUCGCAGCUGGAGACACGCUCUGAGACCAAGCCCCACCGUGUCAGAG